CUGCAGACAAGAUCACUAGCACAGCAUGUUGUUGCUGGAGCAAGGGGAACAUGUUUGCUAUAGUAACCAAUGGACGGAGAAGCACUUAGCCUAUAAAAUGCCAUUAGGCUACACCUUCUCUUCCCACUCACAUUA
rfam:Xenopus laevis strain J chromosome 1L, whole genome shotgun sequence.